AUUAUAAUUCAUAAAACAUUAGAACUUUCUUUUCUCCCAAAUCACAAAAAAUUUCCGUCAAAUUGAAGAACACGCUCUUUAGGCUUUUCUCUCCAAGUAUGAAGAACACAAUUUCAAUCAAACUUUCUCACAGAUUUCUUGUUGAAGAGCUGAAGAGCUGUUCCGUCAUAUUCUCACUGAAGGUUAGGCCUCACAGAUGAACACGCCUCACUAAAAUAUUUCUUGUUGAAAAUUGAACAAAAUGCUUCGCUUGAGAAGAUGGUGUCUUAAAGCUUCAUCACAUUGAAAGGAUUUUGUUGGAUUAGGGUUUAUCAGGUAAGUAAUUCAAUCUUUGAAAGUCUGAAUUUUAGGUUUAGGAUUUUGAUAUUCUUGUGUUGUUGAUACGAUUUUUAUUGAUUUUUGGAAGUCUAACUCGUAGAUGUAUUACCCACAUCUGUUGAUUAUUUUCCCUGAGCAUUAAUAACUAAAUAAGUAUAAAUGGGCUGAUUAGGGCUGAUUCUACACUUGAGAAUUUCUUUUUUAUUAGGUUUAUAAGCUGGUUAGGGCUGAAAUCGUCCAUGAUAGUGUAGCGAAAAAAUCAGAUGGCAUCAGCAAUAAUGGGUCCAUCAGGAUCAGGAAAGACUACUCUUCUCAAUGUUCUGGCAGGUCAAACAAAAGCAUCACCUAAGUUAAAUUUGUCUGGUCUUUUGGACAUCAAUGGGGUGCCAUUUACAAACAAAAUAUACAAGUUUGCCUAUGUUAGACAAGAUGAUCUUCUCUUUUCGCAGUUGACUAUUCGAGAAACUCUAUAUCUUGCAGCUGAACUGCAACUACAGGAUGUAUCUUAAAUUUAAGAGAGAGAUAAAUAUGUGAACAACCAAUUGUUUAAAACAGGUUUGGUAAGGUUUCCCUUUGUCUAACCGUGGUACUCAAUGUUUUAAAUAGUACAUCUCACAUCCAACUUUUAAUAGGAAACCAUCCUAUACUAAACAAAAUAAUUUUUUUGAUUAAUAUCCAUUGUAUUACAUUUUGCACUAUAAUAUCUGAAUAGUUUGUCCAUGAACAAAUAAUCCCUUAUUCCAUGUUAAUUCCCCUUUCAUUCUUUAAUGUGUUUACUGCUCUAUCUUCAGUUUCUAUUUCUUGAAAAAUCUGGAAUCUGUUAGUAUUACUUCUGCAUUUAGCAGAGAAAUCUCUCUACUUUGUCCUUAGUAGUGUUGGUUUCACGUCUCUUUAAAAGGUCAGUUGUGCUGAUUCACAAAUUGGUGAUGCAAAAGUUUGUGGAAUUAGUGUUCGGUGAAAAGAAGCGCAUGUCGCUUGCAUGUGAGCUUAUUGCCAGUCCAUCUGUAGUUUUUGCUGAUGAACCUGCCACUGGACUUGAUGCUUUUCAAGCAGAGCAAGUGAUGGAAACCUUAAGAUACCUUGCACAAGAUCGACAUACUGUUAUAUGUUCUAUACACCACUCUAGAGGUUCUGUGUAUGCAAAAUUCGACGACGUUGUUCUGUUGGCAGGGGGCUCGCUCAUUAAUGCUGGUCCUGCAAAUGAUGAAGUACAAGCGUACUUCUCGAAAUUUGGGUUUGUUAUAUAAUCGAUUCCCAAAAUUACUUAUAUAAUUUUUAUAACCUUAUAGUGUUUUGGUUCUCAAUCAGGCAUUGUAUUCCUGGAACUGUAGCUUAUUUGUGCAGUUUGUUGGUCUGACAGCAUAUAUGCCUAUAUGGUGCCUGUUAAUUGAAACAUGUAUUCUUUCAAGUAGAGAUAAAUGUCCCUUUGUUAAACUUGAUGGUGAUUUUAGUAUCACAUUUUAUUCUUAAACACAUAGAUAUCAAGUUAGAAUGUGGUAAGGCGAAAAUCAUAGAUGCUAUAUCUGUCUAUUAGGAGAAGAAAUCAAUUAAAGAAGGGGAUUCUUAUAUGUAGAUUACGUACUUCGAUCUUGGAACGAGCAUGAAGUAGCAUGAUAAGGAAAUACCGUUUAUGAAUUUAGUGUGCGAGUUGCAACACUUUAUGAUGUAAACAUAUACUCUUGGGUUUUCGUUCUGGUUAUUUUUAUAGGGGAGGGUGUGGGGCGAGGGAUGUGCAAAUUUAUGUGCGUGCACACAUGUGUGCUUGUGUAAAUUUAUGCAUUUAAGUUAAGCCAUUGACAUAUGGAUAUGGAGCCAACUUAAUUUCCUAUGAUUCAUGUGAACUGAAAACUGCAAUUUGUUAAUCAAGUAUUGAUGAUGGUUACUAAAUGACAGGUACAUUUGUCCAGAUCAUGUAAAUCCUUCUGGAUUACAGUACAAACACUAGUCUGACUGGCAGUGGUAGAAAAUUGCAGCACAAUGCAAUAUACAGCUGAUCAAACCAAGUCAUACCGAGAGGCCAUUUUUAUGGACAACAACAAGAAGCCUUUCAUGUUUACCAUAUGGGACGAUCUAACGGACAAUGAAGGGGUUGUACUACUACAACUGUUGCACGAGCACGCUGUUAUUCUUGCAAAACGAGUAGCUGUUACGUACAGCAUACCGUCGCGGUCAAAUCGUCUUUCCUUAAUUUAUUUGAUCCUGCUAUGAAUAAUUUCUUUGCUUUACUUGUCACCAUAUGUUGUUCCCGCAGGGCAAAAGACAACGAACAAAUGCUCUUCGCUUAUACUUUGAGAAGCUCAAUCAUCUUCAUCCCUCAAUCUUGCAUCUGUUGAUAAUGAGACAAUAUCUAUCUCGGUCAUUCCUUCAUUGUCGUCUAGAAUGAGUUUAAAAUAUGACUUUCACUUUCUUUGUCAAUACUGAUCAACUGCUCCAUAGUGAAAUUUUCCCACUAAAAAAAACACUAAUAUCUCUUUUGAGUUGUGAUCUGACAACAAUAGACAUGGAAACAUUGGCUGAAAAAAUAUUAGCGAUGAGAGCUGAGCAAGUGUAUGAAACAGUCGUUGUCUAGGUACUUCGUAUUAUCUCUUUCGAGUUGUGAUUCGCAUAAGUGUUUGUUCUCUACUGACAAAUGAAUCUGCCUUAUUCUUUGCUGAUUGUGACCUCUGUGAGCUUCAUUUUUCUUUAAGUUUUGAUAGAAUGAAAUUUUGCAUUUUAAUGUGGAUCAGUAGCCUAUAUGUUGUCUUGGGAAGGCACUACCUUCAAGAUGAAUUAGCUUUGCAAAUGAUUCUUUGUUUCUUUUAGAUGUCUCUUGUCUUUAAAAUGUUGAAAUUUAUAAAGAGUUGUCUUCCAGCAGUCCAUUUAUGCCUAAGGGAAAUUACACCAGCAUUCCAUUUUUUUACUCAUUUUUCAUAACAGUACCACUACAAUGGGAAGGGACUGGGAAGGAAAAUGCCAGUAAUUGAAUUUGAAUACUGGCCAGAAGUAAACUCAAUCUAUUGUAGUGAACAAUGAAGAGUUUUUGUACUAUUGUCAUGUAUGUUUGAAUGCAUUUGGGUUUUGUGGAAUUUAUUGAUAGUAGAGAUCUUUAAGCAAUUAAUUUUUAAGUAUCGGUUGUACAUGACAUGUUUCCCGAAAUUUAUUUGAAAUAUAUUCCUUCGAUUUAUUUAUUA